rnacentral:tRNA from 1 species
GUCUGGGUGGCUCAGUCGGUUAAGCGCCUGACUUUGGCUCAGGUCAUGAUCUCAUGGUUUGUGAGUUCGAGCCCCACACCAGGCU